UUGAAGUCUUUGUGACUGAGCGGCGGACGGGUGAGUAACGCGUGGGUAACCUGCCUCAUACAGGGGGAUAACAGUUAGAAAUGACUGCUAAUACCGCAUAAGCGCACAGGACCGCAUGGUCUGGUGUGAAAAACUCCGGUGGUAUGAGAUGGACCCGCGUCUGAUUAGCUAGUUGGAGGGGUAACGGCCCACCAAGGCGACGAUCAGUAGCCGGCCUGAGAGGGUGAACGGCCACAUUGGGACUGAGACACGGCCCAGACUCCUACGGGAGGCAGCAGUGGGGAAUAUUGCACAAUGGGGGAAACCCUGAUGCAGCGACGCCGCGUGAAGGAAGAAGUAUCUCGGUAUGUAAACUUCUAUCAGCAGGGAAGAAAAUGACGGUACCUGACUAAGAAGCCCCGGCUAACUACGUGCCAG
rnacentral:rRNA from 1 species